rnacentral:lncRNA from 1 species
ACUACUAAGCUUCCGGGUAGGCUGACUAGCUAACUUUGGCAUUGAAAGUUCGCUAGGCCGGACAGAUCGUCGUGUUUGAGUUACGGUCUCGUCACACUAGGGUAGAGAGGCUGUUUCCAAAUAGACUCCGGCAUAAGAGUAUCUUACUCAAAAUCUUUGCUGGUAAGAGUAUCUUACUCAAAAUAUGUGCAAAAGUUUGGGAGCUGUGAUUCUCUGUCCAGCUGUUUUGAGUUAGUUUCAAAUUGUCAUCAACCUUGGGAGUAAGGAAAUGCUUAACAGGAAUGCUGAAAAAAUUGAGAAUAUAUGUUUUUCCAUGAUAGAACCAAUGCAGUUUUUUAAGGAUUGUCAUGUAUGUUAUGAAAAAAGUGUUGAAAAGGAAAGAAUUCUACUUCAGAUUUGAAUGCAUGAUUUUUGUAAAGCCAAUCAACUUGAAACGGGGAGGGGAGCUUUGGUGUAGCUGGUAAAGUUACUGUCAUGCGACCAUGAAGUCUAGGGUUCAAACUGUGGAAAUACCCUCUUGCAAAAUACAUGGUAAAGCUGCGUACAAUACACCCUUGUGGUCUGACACUUCCCCGGAUCCCGUGCAUAGUAGGAGUUUAGUGCACUGGGGUGACCUGCCCUUUUAAUGAACUUGAAACUGGAAGCAUCAUUUCUUUAAAAUGAUUAAUAUAUUUGCUGGUUAAAAGGUAUCUCUGUAAAGUGUAUGAUUAGUAACAACAACAACAACCCAGUAUAAUCCCACUUAGUGGGGUCUGGGGAGGUAGUAUGUACGCAGACCUUACCUCUGCCCUAAGAUAGAGAGGUUGUUUCCAAAUAGACCCCCGACAGUCUUCCCUCCAAGAACUUCCCACCUUGCUCUUGGGGAGACUCGAACUCACAACCUAAAUUUAAUUUAUAUAUAUUGGUAGUGUACAGCUUUUUUAACACUAUAAGAAUAUUUAUUUUACCUAUUAUAGGGAAUUAUUUCCUUUUUUCCAUAUGUUUAAGUUUAUAAUUAUCUGUUAUUGUAGGUCAUUUCUAACCUGCUAGUGCACAAAUUCUGGCUCCACUUUGAAA